rnacentral:rRNA from 1 species
AGUGGCGAACGGGUGAGUAACACGUGGGUGAUCUGCCCUGCACUUCGGGAUAAGCCUGGGAAACUGGGUCUAAUACCGGAUAGGAGCCAUUUUUAGUGUGAUGGUUGGAAAGUUUUUUCGGUGUAGGAUGAGCUCGCGGCCUAUCAGCUUGUUGGUGGGGUAAUGGCCUACCAAGGCGGCGACGGGUAGCCGGCCUGAGAGGGUGGACGGCCACAUUGGGACUGAGAUACGGCCCAGACUCCUACGGGAGGCAGCAGUGGGGAAUAUUGCACAAUGGGCGCAAGCCUGAUGCAGCGACGCCGCGUGGGGGAUGACGGCCUUCGGGUUGUAAACUCCUUUCGCUAGGGACGAAGCUUUUUGUGACGGUACCUAGAUAAGAAGCACCGGCUAACUACGUGCCAGCAGCCGCGGUAAUACGUAGGGUGCGAGCGUUGUCCGGAAUUACUGGGCGUAAAGGGCUCGUAGGUGGUUUGUCGCGUCGUCUGUGAAAUUCCGGGGCUUAACUCCGGGCGUGCAGGCGAUACGGGCAUAACUUGAGUACUGUAGGGGUAACUGGAAUUCCUGGUGUAGCGGUGAAAUGCGCAGAUAUCAGGAGGAACACCGAUGGCGAAGGCAGGUUACUGGGCAGUUACUGA